UCUCCGUUGGUGAACCAGCGGAGGGACCAUUAUCGAGUUUAUUACUCCCAAACCCUAUGUGAACUUACCACUUGUUGCUUCGGCGCGCGCUUCGGCGCCGCCGAGGACACUUAAACUCUUUGUUUUUAUAAGCAUUUCUGAGUGGCCGAAAGGCAAAAUACAAAUGAAUCAAAACUUUCAACAACGGAUCUCUUGGUUCUG
rnacentral:misc_RNA from 1 species